CAAUGCCAGGAGGAGGCACUCACUGAUGGAGCUGCUGUUUGACAUCUGCUGCUCUUGACACAGGGACCUGUCCAAGGAGGAUGACAAGAAGAUAUGUUAGAAAAGCCUGCAGAGGAGUCAGUCCCGCUCUAUACCUUUGGGCACAUGGAAGUUUCCACCAGUCUCUUCUGUAUCUGAAAGGGAAUGAUUUCUGUGGUUGUGUCGCUUAAUUUUGAUAGAAUAGACCCUGUCUUCAAAUGACUGUGAAAUAUCACGAUUUUUCCAGUUCCUGCAUGAGUUGGACUAGACGACCUUUGGGAGUCCCUUCCAAUUCUAAGGAUUCUGUGAUCCUAUGAUUCUAUCUACGAGAAAAGUAAUCUACAGCCUUAGUAUGCAUGCUUCCUCUGAUGAAAGUAAGCUUCUCACCUUGCGCUCCAGGACACAAGAAGUCAUCUCGGUGUCUACUUAAGUGUCUU
rnacentral:lncRNA from 1 species